AGGAUAAACGCUGGCGGCGUGCCUAACACAUGCAAGUCGAACGUCUCUUCUUUCGGGAAGAGGAGUGGCGGACGGGUGAGGAACACGUGGGAACCUGCCCUUUAGUGAGGAAUACCGGCGAGAAAUCGCCGACAAGACCGCAUAGGCUCGAUGCAAGUCGAGCAAAGCUCUUUCGAGAGAGGGAGCGCCACACGAGGAGCCUGCGCCCGAUUAGCUAGCUGGUGGAGUAACGGUUCACCAGGGCGACGAUCGGUAGCUGGUCUGAGAGGACGAUCAGCCACACUGGGAUUGAGAACGGCCCAGACUCCUACGGGGGGCAGCAGUGAGGAAUUUUCGUCAAUGGGGGCAACCCUGAACGAGCAACGCCGCGUGCAGGAAGAAGGUUUUCGGAUCGUAAACUGCUUUUCUCGGGGAAGAGAAUGGACGGUACCCGAGGAAUCAGCCCCGGCUAACUACGUGCCAGCAGCCGC
rnacentral:rRNA from 1 species